AGAGCGAACGCUGGCGGCAGGCCUAAUACAUGCAAGUCGAACGGAUCCUUCGGGAUUAGUGGCGGACGGGUGAGUAACACGUGGGAACGUACCCUUUGGUUCGGAACAACUCAGGGAAACUUGAGCUAAUGCCGAAUGUGCCCUUCGGGGAAAAGAUUUAUCGCCAUUGGAGCGGCCCGCGUCUGAUUAGCUAGUUGGUAGGGUAAAGGCCUACCAAGGCUACGAUCAGUAGCUGGUCUGAGAGGAUGAUCAGCCACACUGGGACUGAGACACGGCCCAGACUCCUACGGGAGGCAGCAGUAGGGAAUCUUGCGCAAUGGGCGAAAGCCUGACGCAGCCAUGCCGCGUGAAUGAUGAAGGUCUUAGGAUUGUAAAAUUCUUUCAGCGGGGACGAUAAUGACGGUACCGCAGAAGAAGCCCGGCUAACUUCGCGCCAGCAGCCGC
rnacentral:rRNA from 1 species